rnacentral:rRNA from 1 species
GUCCACGCCGUAAACGUUGGGCACUAGGUGUGGGGAUCUAUCGACGGUUUCCGUGCCGAAGCUAACGCAUUAAGUGCCCCGCCUGGGGAGUACGGCCGCAAGGCUAAAACUCAAAGGAAUUGACGGGGGCCCGCACAAGCGGCGGAGCAUGUGGCUUAAUUCGAUGCAACGCGAAGAACCUUACCAAGGCUUGACAUGCUGGGUAAUCCGUGGAAACACGGUGAUCCUUCGGGAUCCAGCGCAGGUGGUGCAUGGCUGUCGU